rnacentral:rRNA from 1 species
UUAAGCGACUAAGCGUACACGGUGGAUGCCCUGGCAGUCAGAGGCGAUGAAGGACGUGCUAAUCUGCGAUAAGCGUCGGUAAGGUGAUAUGAACCGUUAUAACCGGCGAUUUCCGAAUGGGGAAACCCAGUGUGUUUCGACACACUAUCAUUAACUGAAUCCAUAGGUUAAUGAGGCGAACCGGGGGAACUGAAACAUCUAAGUACCCCGAGGAAAAGAAAUCAACCGAGAUUCCCCCAGUAGCGGCGAGCGAACGGGGAGCAGCCCAGAGCCUGAAUCAGUGUGUGUGUUAGUGGAAGCGUCUGGAAAGGCGCGCGAUACAGGGUGACAGCCCCGUACACAAAAAUGCACAUGCUGUGAGCUCGAUGAGUAGGGCGGGACACGUGGUAUCCUGUCUGAAUAUGGGGGGACCAUCCUCCAAGGCUAAAUACUCCUGACUGACCGAUAGUGAACCAGUACCGUGAGGGAAAGGCGAAAAGAACCCCGGCGAGGGAGUGAAAAAGAACCUGAAACCGUGUACGUACAAGCAGUGGGAGCACGCUUAGGCGUGUGACUGCGUACCUUUUGUAUAAUGGGUCAGCGACUUAUAUUCUGUAGCAAGGUUAACCGAAUAGGGGAGCCGAAGGGAAACCGAGUCUUAACUGGGCGUUAAGUUGCAGGGUAUAGACCCGAAACCCGGUGAUCUAGCCAUGGGCAGGUUGAAGGUUGGGUAACACUAACUGGAGGACCGAACCGACUAAUGUUGAAAAAUUAGCGGAUGACUUGUGGCUGGGGGUGAAAGGCCAAUCAAACCGGGAGAUAGCUGGUUCUCCCCGAAAGCUAUUUAGGUAGCGCCUCGUGAAUUCAUCUCCGGGGGUAGAGCACUGUUUCGGCAAGGGGGUCAUCCCGACUUACCAACCCGAUGCAAACUGCGAAUACCGGAGAAUGUUAUCACGGGAGACACACGGCGGGUGCUAACGUCCGUCGUGAAGAGGGAAACAACCCAGACCGCCAGCUAAGGUCCCAAAGUCAUGGUUAAGUGGGAAACGAUGUGGGAAGGCCCAGACAGCCAGGAUGUUGGCUUAGAAGCAGCCAUCAUUUAAAGAAAGCGUAAUAGCUCACUGGUCGAGUCGGCCUGCGCGGAAGAUGUAACGGGGCUAAACCAUGCACCGAAGCUGCGGCAGCGACGCUUAUGCGUUGUUGGGUAGGGGAGCGUUCUGUAAGCCUGCGAAGGUGUGCUGUGAGGCAUGCUGGAGGUAUCAGAAGUGCGAAUGCUGACAUAAGUAACGAUAAAGCGGGUGAAAAGCCCGCUCGCCGGAAGACCAAGGGUUCCUGUCCAACGUUAAUCGGGGCAGGGUGAGUCGACCCCUAAGGCGAGGCCGAAAGGCGUAGUCGAUGGGAAACAGGUUAAUAUUCCUGUACUUGGUGUUACUGCGAAGGGGGACGGAGAAGGCUAUGUUGGCCGGGCGACGGUUGUCCCGGUUUAAGCGUGUAGGCUGGUUUUCCAGGCAAAUCCGGAAAAUCAAGGCUGAGGCGUGAUGACGAGGCACUACGGUGCUGAAGCAACAAAUGCCCUGCUUCCAGGAAAAGCCUCUAAGCAUCAGGUAACAUCAAAUCGUACCCCAAACCGACACAGGUGGUCAGGUAGAGAAUACCAAGGCGCUUGAGAGAACUCGGGUGAAGGAACUAGGCAAAAUGGUGCCGUAACUUCGGGAGAAGGCACGCUGAUAUGUAGGUGAGGUCCCUCGCGGAUGGAGCUGAAAUCAGUCGAAGAUACCAGCUGGCUGCAACUGUUUAUUAAAAACACAGCACUGUGCAAACACGAAAGUGGACGUAUACGGUGUGACGCCUGCCCGGUGCCGGAAGGUUAAUUGAUGGGGUUAGCGCAAGCGAAGCUCUUGAUCGAAGCCCCGGUAAACGGCGGCCGUAACUAUAACGGUCCUAAGGUAGCGAAAUUCCUUGUCGGGUAAGUUCCGACCUGCACGAAUGGCGUAAUGAUGGCCAGGCUGUCUCCACCCGAGACUCAGUGAAAUUGAACUCGCUGUGAAGAUGCAGUGUACCCGCGGCAAGACGGAAAGACCCCGUGAACCUUUACUAUAGCUUGACACUGAACAUUGAGCCUUGAUGUGUAGGAUAGGUGGGAGGCUUUGAAGUGUGGACGCCAGUCUGCAUGGAGCCGACCUUGAAAUACCACCCUUUAAUGUUUGAUGUUCUAACGUUGACCCGUAAUCCGGGUUGCGGACAGUGUCUGGUGGGUAGUUUGACUGGGGCGGUCUCCUCCUAAAGAGUAACGGAGGAGCACGAAGGUUGGCUAAUCCUGGUCGGACAUCAGGAGGUUAGUGCAAUGGCAUAAGCCAGCUUGACUGCGAGCGUGACGGCGCGAGCAGGUGCGAAAGCAGGUCAUAGUGAUCCGGUGGUUCUGAAUGGAAGGGCCAUCGCUCAACGGAUAAAAGGUACUCCGGGGAUAACAGGCUGAUACCGCCCAAGAGUUCAUAUCGACGGCGGUGUUUGGCACCUCGAUGUCGGCUCAUCACAUCCUGGGGCUGAAGUAGGUCCCAAGGGUAUGGCUGUUCGCCAUUUAAAGUGGUACGCGAGCUGGGUUUAGAACGUCGUGAGACAGUUCGGUCCCUAUCUGCCGUGGGCGCUGGAGAACUGAGGGGGCUGCUCCUAGUACGAGAGGACCGGAGUGGACGCAUCACUGGUGUUCGGGUUGUCAUGCCAAUGGCACUGCCCGGUAGCUAAAUGCGGAAGAGAUAAGUGCUGAAAGCAUCUAAGCACGAAACUUGCCCCGAGAUGAGUUCUCCCUGACCCUUUAAGGGUCCUGAAGGAACGUUGAAGACGACGACGUUGAUAGGCCGGGUGUGUAAGCGCAGCGAUGCGUUGAGCUAACCGGUACUAAUGAACCGUGAGGCUUAACCUU